GAUGAACGCUGGCGGCGUGCCUAAUACAUGCAAGUCGAGCGAACGGACGAGAAGCUUGCUUCUCUGAUGUUAGCGGCGGACGGGUGAGUAACACGUGGAUAACCUACCUAUAAGACUGGGAUAACUUCGGGAAACCGGAGCUAAUACCGGAUAAUAUUUUGAACCGCAUGGUUCAAAAGUGAAAGACGGUCUUGCUGUCACUUAUAGAUGGAUCCGCGCUGCAUUAGCUAGUUGGUAAGGUAACGGCUUACCAAGGCAACGAUGCAUAGCCGACCUGAGAGGGUGAUCGGCCACACUGGAACUGAGACACGGUCCAGACUCCUACGGGAGGCAGCAGUAGGGAAUCUUCCGCAAUGGGCGAAAGCCUGACGGAGCAACGCCUCGUGAGUGAUGAAGGUCUUCGGAUCGUAAAACUCUGUUAUUAGGGAAGAACAUAUGUGUAAGUAACUGUGCACAUCUUGACGGUACCUAAUCAGAAAGCCACGGCUAACUACGUG
rnacentral:rRNA from 1 species